UUCAUUUAUCCAUCAGUCUACUCAUUUAUUCAUUAUUAAAACACAUUUUUACUAUUUUGAUAGAAUAACCUUAAAGAACAAAAAGCCACUAUGUCGUGUAAAAUGGAGAAUAAAAUGAUUAUAAGGUUAAAAAAAAAUAAAUAUAAUAAACAAACUGAUUGUAUUCAUAACAUCUUAUAAUAUAUAUAUAUAUAUAUAUAUACACGUGUACGUAUGUACAUUUGCUACCUUUUUUUUUUUAAUCAUACAGAUACCAAAGUUGUACCAUUUUAAACAAUUACGAAAGAAUAAAAACUAAGCUAUACGAAAGUAAUGAAAUGUGCUAUUAUUUCUCAAAAACAAACUUUAAUUUAUUUAAAGAAUUAAAAAAAAAAAAAAAAAAAAUAGAAUCGUUAAAUAAGAAAAUGUCUUAUAUUAAAUGUCUUCUUAUGAAAAGAAAUCAGUCGAACCAAAUGGGUUCUAAACUAUUAAAGAUACACGAGGAAUACAUAGAAACAAUUAUACGCCCUCUACAUUGCGUAAAAUUAAUCUCAAACGAAUAUACUAAAAUACCAGUAGAUGAAGGGAAUGCUUCCAUUAAAUUAGAUCAUGCAUUUGUUGAGAAUAAAGUAGAUGACAAAAGCAAGGAUGAAAUUAAAAAUUUAAAAAUAGUUUUAAAUAAUAUAAAAAAUGAAAAUAAGUUAUUAAACAAAAAAUAUGAACUUUUAUACAAAAAAUAUAUGAGCGCACUGAAAAAAAAACCUUAUAAAAAUAAAGAGCUCAAAUUUAUUCAAGAAGAAAAAAAAGAAGAAAUUGAACAAUCGAGCAAUGGUGAUGUUAUUCAUUCUUUUUAUUUGAAAAAUAAUGAAAAUAAUUAUAAACAAAAAUGUGACAACGAUAUGAAUAUAAGAAAUUGUAUGGAGGUAAAAGUUGUAAAUAAAAAGCAGUUUGGUAUGAAUAAGUUUGACAAUUAUAAAGGUAAUAAAAAAAUAAAAAGAAACUGUAUUAAUAAUGUUAUAUAAAAACACAUAAAGAAAUAGUUGUAUCUGUCUUGUGCUUUUCCUUGCCUUUAAUAAAGUUUAUAAUUUAUUUGG
ensembl:lncRNA